GAGUUUGAUCGUGGCUCAGAUUGAACGCUGGCGGAAUGCUUUACACAUGCAAGUCGAGCGGCAGCGCGGGGCAACCUGGCGGCGAGCGGCGAACGGGUGAGUAAUGCAUCGGAACAUGUCCAUGUCGUGGGGGAUAGCCCGGCGAAAGCCGGAUUAAUACCGCAUACGCCCGAGAGGGGAAAGUGGGGGACCGCAAGGCCUCACGCGAUUGGGUUGGCCGAUGUCCGAUUAGCUAGUUGGUGGGGUAAAGGCCUACCAAGGCGAUGAUCGGUAGCUGGUCUGAGAGGAUGAUCAGCCACACUGGGACUGAGACACGGCCCAGACUCCUACGGGAGGCAGCAGUGGGGAAUUUUGGGACAAUGGGGGCAACCCUGAUCCAGCGACGCCGCGUGUGUGAAGAAGGCCUGCGGGUUGUAAAGCACUUUUAGUGGGGAUGAAAAGCCGAAGGGCUAAUACUCUUCGGUCUUGACCUAACCCAAAGAAAAAGCAACCGGCUAACUCUGUGCCAGCAGCCGCCGUAAAU
rnacentral:rRNA from 1 species